rfam:Ictidomys tridecemlineatus contig031265, whole genome shotgun sequence.
GGGGUUGUAGCUUAGUGGUUGAGCGCUUGCUUAGUAUGCAUGAGGCAAUGGGUUUGAUUCUCAGCACCUCA